GCCCGGGGCUAGAGACCGAGGGCCGGGGUCCGGGCCCGGCGGCGGGACCCAGGCGGUUGAGGCUGGUCAGGAGUCAGCCAGCCUGAAAGAGCAGGAUGGAUCUUGAUGUGGUUAACAUGUUUGUGAUUGCGGGCGGCACGCUGGCCAUCCCAAUCCUGGCAUUUGUGGCUUCAUUUCUUCUGUGGCCUUCAGCACUGAUAAGAAUCUAUUAUUGCAUGAGCAGCGUGAAAGAUGUAGCAGCCCUGAGCUGAGCCUUUCUCCUUGUUGGAAUCAGAAGGUUAACAGUCAAAAAGAAAGUGACUUUCUCAUGAUGUGCUUCAUUGCCUUUUCAUGCCACUGUCCAAUUAUCAAAUGAAAUUGCCCUUCCCACCCCCAUGGUGUACAUCCCCUGAUGAAGGGAGCAUCGAAAUAGACCUGGUUCCUCUCUGUGCUAUAGGUACUGGCGGAGGACAUUGGGCAUGCAAGUCCGCUAUGUUCACCAUGAAGACUAUCAGUUCUGUUAUUCCUUCCGGGGCAGGCCUGGGCACAAACCCUCCAUCCUCAUGCUCCACGGAUUCUCUGCCCACAAGGAUAUGUGGCUCAGUGUGGUCAAG
rnacentral:lncRNA from 1 species